rnacentral:rRNA from 1 species
AUUGAACGCUGGCGGCAGGCCUAACACAUGCAAGUCGAGCGGAAACGAGUUAUCUGAACCUUCGGGGAACGAUAACGGCGUCGAGCGGCGGACGGGUGAGUAAUGCCUAGGAAAUUGCCCUGAUGUGGGGGAUAACCAUUGGAAACGAUGGCUAAUACCGCAUAAUACCUUCGGGUCAAAGAGGGGGACCUUCGGGCCUCUCGCGUCAGGAUAUGCCUAGGUGGGAUUAGCUAGUUGGUGAGGUAAUGGCUCACCAAGGCGACGAUCCCUAGCUGGUCUGAGAGGAUGAUCAGCCACACUGGAACUGAGACACGGUCCAGACUCCUACGGGAGGCAGCAGUGGGGAAUAUUGCACAAUGGGCCAAGCCUGAUGGCCAGCCGCGUGUUGAAGAGGCCUUUGGUUAAAGCACUUUCAGUCGUGAGGAGUAGUGUAGUUAAUAGCUGC